CCUACGGGAGGCAGCAGUGAGGAAUAUUGGUCAAUGGACGAGAGUCUGAACCAGCCAAGUAGCGUGAAGGAUGACUGCCCUAUGGGUUGUAAACUUCUUUUAUAUGGGAAUAAAACGUUCCACGUGUGGGAUUUUGUAUGUACCAUAUGAAUAAGGAUCGGCUAACUCCGUGCCAGCAGCCGCGGUAAUACGGAGGAUCCGAGCGUUAUCCGGAUUUAUUGGGUUUAAAGGGAGCGGAGAUGGAUUGUUAAGUCAGUUGUGAAAGUUUGCGGCUCAACCGUAAAAUUGCAGUUGAAACUGGCAGUCUUGAGUACAGUAGAGGUGGGCGGAAUUCGUGGUGUAGCGGUGAAAUGCUUAGAUAUCACGAAGAACUCCGAUUGCGAAGGCAGUUCACUAGACUGCAACUGACACUGAGGCUCGAAAGUGUGGGUAUCAAACAGGAUUAGAUACCCGUGUAGUC
rnacentral:rRNA from 1 species